UUGGAGCCAAGUAAGCGAGGUAACCAGAGGAUGCAAGACUGCUGGACUCAAAAUGUGCUGGAAGUGACUAACAGCCAUCAUUCCCAUUUCCUGCGGAUCAUCAACAACAGUGCCUGCUAUAGUAGAGAAAGACCUGAUUGCAUUGAAUGCAUUCCUAAUACAUGUCAUCCGAUGGAAGUCCCAUUUGGAGUGCAAAUCUUGCUCCUGCUGGAAAAGAGUUGUAGUUGGAUUCGCCAAGGCUUGUACCUGCACAACUUGAAGCAAACGGGUUGACAAACAUGUUUCCAGGGGACAUAAAUUUCCAGCCAAAAUCCAAGCAGUUUCGAUCGUUUCUAGGAAGCGAGGGUGGGAGGUGAGGAAAUUGAAGAAUUUAAAAGGCUUUGUGCCAGCUUGCGGAAGCGCUGUAUCAAGGUCUAUAAGACAAGGGGAGUGGUCAGAAAGUUCAGGGGCCAAGAAGGAGGCUACGCUGUUCGGGUACGAGGUAAGCCAGACAUUGUUAACAAGGGCUCUAUCCAGUUUUUUACAAAUAGGGUUGGCAGGACUUUUGUUUGACCAGGUAAAUAGAGAUCCUUGGUAACGCA